GAUGAAGAACGCAGCGAAAUGCGAUAAGUAAUGUGAAUUGCAGAAUUCAGUGAAUCAUCGAAUCUUUGAACGCACAUUGCGCCCGCCAGUAUUCUGGCGGGCAUGCCUGUUCGAGCGUCAUUACAACCCUCAGGCCCCCGGGCCUGGCGUUGGGGAUCGGCGGAAGCCCCCUGCGGGCACAACGCCGUCCCCCAAAUACAGUGGCGGUCCCGCCGCAGCUUCCAUUGCGUAGUAGCUAACACCUCGCAACUGGAGAGCGGCGCGGCCACGCCGUAAAACACCCAACUUCUGAAUGUUGACCUCGAAUCUGGUAGGAAUACCCGCUGAACUUAAGCAUAUCAAUAAGCGGAGGA
rnacentral:misc_RNA from 1 species